rnacentral:rRNA from 1 species
GACGAACGCUGGCGGCGUGCCUAACACAUGCAAGUCGAACGAGAGAUGAGGAGCUUGCUCUUCAAAUCGAGUGGCGAACGGGUGAGUAACGCGUGAGGAACCUGCCUCAAAGAGGGGGACAACAGUUGGAAACGACUGCUAAUACCGCAUAAGCCCACGGCUCGGCAUCGAGCAGAGGGAAAAGGAGCAAUCCGCUUUGAGAUGGCCUCGCGUCCGAUUAGCUAGUUGGUGAGGUAACGGCCCACCAAGGCGACGAUCGGUAGCCGGACUGAGAGGUUGAACGGCCACAUUGGGACUGAGACACGGCCCAGACUCCUACGGGAGGCAGCAGUGGGGAAUAUUGCACAAUGGGGGAAACCCUGAUGCAGCGACGCCGCGUGGAGGAAGAAGGUCUUCGGAUUGUAAACUCCUGUUGUUGAGGAAGAUAAUGACGGUACUCAACAAGGAAGUGACGGCUAACUACGUGCCAGCAGCCGCGGUAAAACGUAGGUCACAAGCGUUGUCCGGAAUUACUGGGUGUAAAGGGAGCGCAGGCGGGAGAACAAGUUGGAAGUGAAAUCCAUGGGCUCAACCCAUGAACUGCUUUCAAAACUGUUUUUCUUGAGUAGUGCAGAGGUAGGCGGAAUUCCCGGUGUAGCGGUGGAAUGCGUAGAUAUCGGGAGGAACACCAGUGGCGAAGGCGGCCUACUGGGCACCAACUGACGCUGGGGCUCGAAAGUGUGGGUAGCAAACAGGAUUAGAUACCCUGGUAGUCCACACCGUAAACGAUGAUUACUAGGUGUUGGAGGAUUGACCCCUUCAGUGCCGCAGUUAACACAAUAAGUAAUCCACCUGGGGAGUACGACCGCAAGGUUGAAACUCAAAGGAAUUGACGGGGGCCCGCACAAGCAGUGGAGUAUGUGGUUUAAUUCGACGCAACGCGAAGAACCUUACCAAGUCUUGACAUCCCUUGACGAUGCUGGAAACAGUAUUUCUCUUCGGAGCAAGGAGACAGGUGGUGCAUGGUUGUCGUCAGCUCGUGUCGUGAGAUGUUGGGUUAAGUCCCGCAACGAGCGCAACCCUUAUGGUCAGUUACUACGCAAGAGGACUCUGGCCAGACUGCCGUUGACAAAACGGAGGAAGGUGGGGAUGACGUCAAAUCAUCAUGCCCUUUAUGACUUGGGCUACACACGUACUACAAUGGCGUUAAACAAAGAGAAGCAAGACCGCGAGGUGGAGCAAAACUCAGAAACAACGUCCCAGUUCGGACUGCAGGCUGCAACUCGCCUGCACGAAGUCGGAAUUGCUAGUAAUCGUGGAUCAGCAUGCCACGGUGAAUACGUUCCCGGGUCUU